rnacentral:rRNA from 1 species
GGAUCCAGACUUUGAUUAUGGCUCAGGAUGAACGCUAGCUACAGGCUUAACACAUGCAAGUCGAGGGGAAACGACAUCGAAAGCUUGCUUUUGAUGGGCGUCGACCGGCGCACGGGUGAGUAACGCGUAUCCAACCUGCCCAUCACUUGGGGAUAACCUUGCGAAAGUAAGACUAAUACCCAAUGAUAUCCCACGAAGGCAUCCGAAUGGGAUUAAAGAUUUAUCGGUGAUGGAUGGGGAUGCGUCUGAUUAGCUUGUUGGCGGGGUAACGGCCCACCAAGGCGACGAUCAGUAGGGGUUCUGAGAGGAAGGUCCCCCACAUUGGAACUGAGACACGGUCCAAACUCCUACGGGAGGCAGCAGUGAGGAAUAUUGGUCAAUGGGCGAGGGCCUGAACCAGCCAAGUAGCGUGCAGGACGACGGCCCUAUGGGUUGUAAACUGCUUUUAUAAGGGAAUAAAGUGAGUCUCGUGAGACUUUUUGCAUGUACCUUAUGAAUAAGGACCGGCUAAUUCCGUGCCAGCAGCCGCGGUAAUACGGAAGGUCCGGGCGUUAUCCGGAUUUAUUGGGUUUAAAGGGAGCGUAGGCCGGAGAUUAAGCGUGUUGUGAAAUGUAGAGGCUCAACCUCUGCACUGCAGCGCGAACUGGUCUUCUUGAGUACGCACAACGUGGGCGGAAUUCGUGGUGUAGCGGUGAAAUGCUUAGAUAUCACGAAGAACUCCGAUUGCGAAGGCAGCUCACGGGAGCGCAACUGACGCUGAAGCUCGAAAGUGCGGGUAUCGAACAGGAUUAGAUACCCUGGUAGUCCGCACGGUAAACGAUGGAUGCCCGCUGUUGGCCUGAAUAGGUCAGCGGCCAAGCGAAAGCAUUAAGCAUCCCACCUGGGGAGUACGCCGGCAACGGUGCAACUCAAAGGAAUUGACG